AACGAACGCUGGCGGCGUGCUUAACACAUGCAAGUCGAACGCGAAAGGGACUUCGGUCCUGAGUAAAGUGGCGCACGGGUGAGUAACGCGUAGAUAACCUGUCUUCACGUCUGGAAUAAUACGCCGAAAGGGGUACUAAUACCGGAUAUUCUUGCUUUUCAUAAGUUUUGCAAGGAAAGGUGGCCUCUGUAUAUGCUACUGCGGGAAGAGGGGUCUGCGUACCAUUAGCUAGUAGGUGGGGUAAUGGCCUACCUAGGCAACGAUGGUUAGCGGGUCUGAGAGGAUGAUCCGCCACACUGGCACUGGAACACGGGCCAGACUCCUACGGGAGGCAGCAGUGAGGAAUAUUGCGCAAUGGGGGAAACCCUGACGCAGCGACGCCGCGUGAGUGAGGAAGGCCUUCGGGUCGUAAAGCUCUGUCAAAGGGAAAGAAGUGCAUGAUGGCUAAUACCUGUCAUGUUUGACGGUACCCUUAAAGGAAGCACCGGCUAACUCCGUGCCAGCCGCCGCCGUAAAAC
rnacentral:rRNA from 1 species